rnacentral:rRNA from 1 species
CCUACGGGAGGCAGCAGUGGGGAAUUUUGGACAAUGGGGGCAACCCUGAUCCAGCAAUGCCGCGUGUGUGAAGAAGGCCUUCGGGUUGUAAAGCACUUUUGUCCGGAAAGAAAACCGCUUCUCUAAUACAGAGGUGGGAUGACGGUACCGGAAGAAUAAGCACCGGCUAACUACGUGCCAGCAGCCGCGGUAAUACGUAGGGUGCAAGCGUUAAUCGGAAUUACUGGGCGUAAAGCGUGCGCAGGCGGUUCGCUAAGACCGAUGUGAAAUCCCCGGGCUUAACCUGGGAACUGCAUUGGUGACUGGCGGGCUAGAGUAUGGCAGAGGGGGGUAGAAUUCCACGUGUAGCAGUGAAAUGCGUAGAGAUGUGGAGGAAUACCGAUGGCGAAGGCAGCCCCCUGGGCCAAUACUGACGCUCAUGCACGAAAGCGUGGGGAGCAAACAGGAUUAGAUACCCUGGUAGUCCACGCCCUAAACGAUGUCAACUAGUUGUCGGGUCUUCAUUGACUUGGUAACGAAGCUAACGCGUGAAGUUGACCGCCUGGGGAGUACGGUCGCAAGAAUUAAAACUCAAAUUGAAAUUGACGG